rnacentral:rRNA from 1 species
GACGAACGCUGGCGGCGUGCUUAACACAUGCAAGUCGAACGGAAAGGCCCUGCUUUUGUGGGGUGCGCGAGUGGCGAACGGGUGAGUAACACGUGAGUAAGCUGCCCUUGACUUUGGGAUAACUUAAGGAAACUGGGGCUAAUACCGGAUAGGAGCUCCUGCUGCAGGGUGGGGGUGGGAAAGUUUCGGCGGUUGGGGGUGGACUCGCGGCUUAUCAGCUUGAUGGUGGGGUAGUGGCAUACCAAGGCUUUGACGGGUAGCCGGCCUGGGAGGGUGACCGGCCCCAUUGGGCCUGAGAUGCGGCCCAGACUCCUACGGUAGGCAACAGUGGGGAAUAUUGCACAAUGGGCUGAAGCCUGAUGCAGCAACGCCGCGUGCGGGAUGACGGCAUUCGGGUUGUAAUCCGCUUUCGCCUGUGACGAAGCGUGAGUGACGGUAAUGGGUAAAGAAGCACCGGCUAACUACGUG